AAUGAACGCUGGCGGCAUGCCUAACACAUGCAAGUCGAACGAAGGCUUCGGCCUUAGUGGCGCACGGGUGCGUAACGCGUGGGAAUCCGCCCCUUGGUUCGGAAUAACAGUUAGAAAUGACUGCUAAUACCGGAUGAUGACGUAAGUCCAAAGAUUUAUCGCCGAGGGAUGAGCCCGCGUAGGAUUAGCUAGUUGGUGUGGUAAGAGCGCACCAAGGCGACGAUCCUUAGCUGGUCUGAGAGGAUGAUCAGCCACACUGGGACUGAGACACGGCCCAGACUCCUACGGGAGGCAGCAGUGGGGAAUAUUGGACAAUGGGCGAAAGCCUGAUCCAGCAAUGCCGCGUGAGUGAUGAAGGCCUUAGGGUUGUAGAGCUCUUUUACCCGGGAUGAUAAUGACAGUACCGGGAGAAUAAGCUCCGGCUAACUCCGUG
rnacentral:rRNA from 1 species